rnacentral:rRNA from 1 species
CAAUUUAGUCGUAAGUGAAAUUCAUGAAACUAAAAUUAAUUGGCGGCUUUUUAAAUAUUUUAGAGAAAUUUAUUCUGUAAAGGAUUUAACCCCAAAAUCUUACUUUUUUUUGUAUAAUAUACAAAAAUAUAUUACAUUUCCUAUACCUCUCUUUUUUGAUUAUUAAAUCAAUUAUAGCAUUUUCUAUGAUUGUUUAGAAGUAUUUUAGGGAAAGGUGUGGAUUAUAAAAAAGAUUGAAAUAAGUUUUAUUAAUUAGUAUUUAAUGAAAUUUAAAUUGAUAGAUUUAAAUUCAAUAAAAUUUAAAAGUAAAAUUAGUGAAAUAGGCUAAUUUGAAUAUAUUUUCAAAAGCGUCCAUAUUGCCCGUCACUCUCUUUUUAGAGAUAAGUCGCCCCAGAGUAA